rnacentral:rRNA from 1 species
UACGUAGGGUGCAAGCGUUAAUCGGAAUUACUGGGCGUAAAGCGUGCGCAGGCGGUUUUGUAAGUUUGUCGUGAAAUCCCCGGGCUCAACCUGGGAAUGGCGAUGAAGACUGCAAGGCUAGAAUAUGGGAGAGGUAAGCGGAAUUCCUGGUGUAGCGGUGAAAUGCGUAGAUAUCAGGAGGAACACCUGCGGUGUAGACGGCUUACUGGACCAUAACUGACGCUGAGGCACGAAAGCGUGGGUAGCAAACAGG